CUUUGUCACUUUGAUUAAUAUCAAUAGUAAUUGUACAAAUAUGUAGAAAAUUAUCAACAUAAGUAAACACUAAAGUCAAAGUUGGAAAAAGGGGUAAAAGAGGUUAAAAAAACAAACAAACUAGACCACCUCAUCAUCCUCGAGAAACUCAACCAGACAACGCGUCUCCAAAAAAGAACUUAUUUUCUUUUCUAGAGAAUCUAACAACUUAUGCAAGUACUUUUCACCUGACCUUCUUACAGAGAUCUGAAAACUCGUAGUACAAAAUUCCCAAAACUAUACCAAAACUUGGGCUAAUCUAUCUAUGCUACCUAUUUUUUUUCACAAAAUUAAUCUCUACAUAUGAUUACAUCAAAUCACAAGGUUGAAAUUUUUUUUGCUUUUUUUUGCAUAAUAUCUUCAUUGUAAGCAAUGGUAAUAUCUUGUGCAAUUUUAAUAGCAUCAGCAGAAGCACCUGAUAGUCCUCUUCUUGUGAAACCAACUGCAUAUAGCCCAGAUUUUCCUUUCCAACUAUUUGGAAAUGGUGCUUUUGGGAAUCCAUUUUUGGAAAAGAAUUCACUUUCCUUUAGCCAAAAAGGAACAUUGCUACAAUAGCCAGUAGCAAGAAGAACAGAAUCGAUUUCGAGUUUUUCACCAUUGACAAGCUCAACGGUGCCACAUGAAAACCUCUUGAUUCCUGGGACAACAUUGAUUUUUCUUGAUCUAAUUUUUUCCAAUGCACCAAUGUCCAAAACAGGAGUUUUCCCUUGUGUGUUCUUGAGUUCCAAAGGUCCAAUUUUUGGCCUUUUUAGCCCAUAUUUCUCAAUGUUACCAAGAAUAAACCAUGUCAAAAUUAGUAAAAUUUUGUCAACUAGCCACAAUGGUAACCAUUUCAUCAUCAACAUAGCCAAUUCAAAUAUUGAUUUCCCAAAUAUUUCUCUUGGCAAUACAUGAACCGAGCUACGACAAACCAAUGAUGUUUGAGCAUUAUGAUUGCAAAGAUCAAGAGAAACUUCCAUGCCAGAAUUUCCACAACCAACAACAACAACUUUCUUCCCACUGAACUUUUCACCAGACUUAUAAUCACAAGCAUGAAUAACUUCACCUCCAAAUUCUUUCAAUCCUUCAAUAUUUGGCACAACUUUUUCAGCAUUUUCCCCUGUUGCCACAACAAGCCAUUGACAAAUAUACUCAACUUCUAAUCCAUUUGGUGAAAUAGUUUUCACCCUCCACAAUUUACAAAUUUUGUCAUAUUUUGCAAGUUGAACACACUCAUUGAACAUUGGAUUUAUGUCAAAUCUUUUAGCAUAUGAUUCAAGAUAAUCA
rnacentral:misc_RNA from 1 species